rnacentral:rRNA from 1 species
UACGUAGGAGGCGAGCGUUGUCCGGAAUCACUGGGCGUAAAGCGCGUGUAGGCGGGAAGCUCAGUCUGUGGUGAAAGCGCCUGGCUUAACCGGGCGAGGUCCAUGGAAACUAGCUACCUGGAGGCCGGUAGAGGGGGGUGGAAUUCCGGGUGUAGUGGUGAAAUGCGUAGAGAUCCGGAGGAACACCAGUGGCGAAGGCGGCCCCCUGGGCCGCGCCUGACGCUGAGACGCGAAAGCGCGGGGAGCGAAACGGG